rnacentral:rRNA from 1 species
CCUACGGGAGGCAGCAGUGAGGAAUAUUGGUCAAUGGGCGUAAGCCUGAACCAGCCAAGUCGCGUGAGGGAUGAAGGUUCUAUGGAUCGUAAACCUCUUUUAUAAGGGAAUAAAGUGUGGGACGUGUCCUGUUUUGUAUGUACCUUAUGAAUAAGGAUCGGCUAACUCCGUGCCAGCAGCCGCGGUAAUACGGAGGAUCCGAGCGUUAUCCGGAUUUAUUGGGUUUAAAGGGUGCGUAGGCGGCCUUUUAAGUCAGCGGUGAAAGUCUGUGGCUCAACCAUAGAAUUGCCGUUGAAACUGGGAGGCUUGAGUAUGUUUGAGGCAGGCGGAAUGCGUGGUGUAGCGGUGAAAUGCUUAGAUAUCACGCAGAACUCCGAUUGCGAAGGCAGCGUACCGGCGCCAGACUGACGCUGAGGCACGAAAGCGUGGGGAUCGAACAGGAUUAGAUACCCCAGUAGU